rnacentral:lncRNA from 1 species
GCCAUCACAAAAGAAACCCUAAUGGUUUCUCUUCUUGCCUUUUCUUGCCUUGACAAAAAAAUCAUCUGUGAAGAAUAACAAAGGUAUGCAAGCUCUUUGUACUCAAGCGACUGAUGAAGAAGGUAGUCUGCUCCUCAAAGUGUUUUUAAUCAAUUUCUCUUAGCCAGUUUCUUCAUAUUGGUCCUGCACAAGCUCAAAACUAAAAGGAUUCUCCAAGAUGUGAUAUUGUAAUGAAGGUUCACCGGAAGCACCGUGUUGAAAAGUUGCAGUUUUUAUAAAUUGUGUCAAAUAGGAUUAACAAGAUUCUGUUUAUUAGUUAGUAGGCCAUUUUUUAUAAUGAGUGACUUAGAAGUAAAAGGAUUGAACAUUGGUUCCCAUUUACUAUAUGUUUAUGCUUUCUCACACUUUUGUUUUACAUUACAAUCAAAAGAAAGAUCUAGGUUAUGAAAUUGCACGGCAUGUGAAUUUGUUUUGUGAUUUUUAUGAUAGGUUCUGGCCAUUGUGUGUGAGGAGCUCCCUCCUAAUAUAAUUAUGUUACGUAUCUGCUCCAAGUAACAUUUUUAUUGUUCACAUGUUGGCUAAUUUAUGGUCUGUAACCUCUAUGGAUUUUUUUAGAUAUGUAGAGUACAUUGUCAAUUUUAUUGUUCACAUAUUGGCUUAUUUAUGAUAUGUAACCUCUUUAUGGAAUUUUUUUAGCUAUGUU